GAGAGCCCACAGUGUGGCCAGGGCUCCCGGGCGCUGCCCUCCUGCAGAAGUGGACUCCGCUGGGAUGUGCUGAGGAGCAGUGUCACCAAGGCCAGGACGCCUGGCAGCGAGGGCCCCUCAGGUCACCCUGGCACACUCUGGGCAGGGCCUGGCUGCUGCCUUGGGGGGACACAGAGGCCCCCACUGUGUGAGCAAGCACUGGGCCCCUUGUGUGGCGCCUGGCUACCCCACACCUGCUGCCGCACACAGCGGGUCUGUGUUCCGGGGCCAGCAGCGCCCCAACUGACACCGUGCCGUCCCCUGUGGCCAUGCUCCCGGGGGGCGACUCCAUGCGCAACAGCACCAUGCAGGCAGGGCCUGAGGUCCCAGGGAGGAACACGUCAGGGCUGUCUCCCUCCCCUCAGGAGUCUUCGGACCAGCUGGCAGUCAUCACUGCGGCCAGCUCCGGUGUCAAGAUGGCCGAGGCCGGAGUUGACUGGCAGAGGCAGGACAGGACAUUCCCGGCUCUGAGGUGGGGCCGCCCCACUCAGCUUGGGCAGAGCCUGGGAGCUCUUGGCAGUUGCUAAGGCUGUGGGCGCGGAAGUGCACAGACCUGGCCCUGAGCGUGGGCUUUGCCUCACCUAAUACCCCAGGCUUCAAUUUCUGUCCCAAGAAAGUGGCAUCACAAAUGGGGUGUGGUGAUGCAGGCCUGUAACUCCAGCACUCUGGGAGGCUGAGGCAGGAGGACUGCAAGUUCAGGCUCAGGCUGAGCAAUUUAACAGCGACUUAGUGAGACCCUGUCUCAAAAUAAAAAAUGGCUGAGGAAGUGGCUCGGUGGAAAGGCCCUGAAUUCAUUCCUCAGUACUGAAAGGCGGGCAUCAUAUCCAUUUCUGGGGCGCCGCCCCGAGACUGGCCUGGGGUGGCCAUACGCCUAUGGUGGAAGAUCUCCCGCUGCAGGUUUGGUCUUCUGGGGCUGCUGGGACCUGGGGUGUCACGCAGCGUGGGCUCGGCAGACACGGGACAGGUGGCUCUGUGAGAGGCCAUCAGCAUCAGCAAAGCCAUCAACAGCCAGGAGGCCCCGUGAAGGAGAAGCAUGCCC
rnacentral:lncRNA from 1 species